ensembl:snoRNA
AUCCUUCGGUUCAUGAGUGUGAUAACUGGGUGUUCAUGCUACAUGUGUGAGAUGUUCUUCCUUCAAACCUUGUUAUAGAGACAUUACCUGUUAGACU